rnacentral:rRNA from 1 species
UAAGGAAUAUUGGUCAAUGGACGCAAGUCUGAACCAGCCAUGCCGCGUGAAGGAUGAAGGUCCUCUGGAUUGUAAACUUCUUUUAUCUGGGACGAAAACGGGAUUUUUAUCUCAAUUGACGGUACCAGAGGAAUAAGCACCGGCUAACUCUGUGCCAGCAGCCGCGGUAAUACGGAGGGUGCGAGCGUUAUCCGGAUUUACUGGGUUUAAAGGGUGCGUAGGUGGGCUUAUAAGUCAGUGGUGAAAUCUCCGAGCUUAACUUGGAAACUGCCGUUGAUACUAUAGGUCUUGAAUUAUCUGGAGGUAAGCGGAAUAUGUCAUGUAGCGGUGAAAUGCUUAGAUAUGACAUAGAACACCAAUUGCGAAGGCAGCUUACUACAUAUAAAUUGACGCUGAGGCACGAAAGCGUGGGGAUCAAACA